UACAGAGGUCCCAAGCGUUGUCCGGAAUUAUUGGGCGUAAAGAGCUCGUAGGCGGUUUGUCGCGUCUGCUGUGAAAACUCGGGGCUUAACUCCGGGCCUGCAGUGGGUACGGGCAGACUAGAGUGCGGUAGGGGAGACUGGAAUUCCUGGUGUAGCGGUGAAAUGCGCAGAUAUCAGGAGGAACACCGGUGGCGAAAGCGAGGUCCUGGACGCCUACUGACGCUGAGACGCGAAAGCCAGGGGAGCGAACGGG
rnacentral:rRNA from 1 species